rnacentral:rRNA from 1 species
UACGGGGGGAGCAAGCGUUGUUCGGAUUUACUGGGCGUAAAGCGCGCGCAGGCGGCCUUUUAAGUCUCGUGGUGAAAUGCCGGGGCUCAACCCCGUGCCCGCCGGAGAUACUGGGAGGCUGGAGACGAGUAGAGGCAAGCGGAAUUCCGGGUGUAGCGGUGGAAUGCGUAGAGAUCCGGAAGAACACCGGAGGCGAAGGCGGCUUGCUGGGCUCGGUCUGACGCUGAGGCGCGAAAGCGUGGGGAGCGAACAGG